rnacentral:rRNA from 1 species
CCUACGGGAGGCAGCAGUGAGGAAUAUUGGUCAAUGGGCGCGAGCCUGAACCAGCCAAGUAGCGUGAAGGAUGACUGCCCUAUGGGUUGUAAACUUCUUUUAUAUGGGAAUAAAAUGUUCCACGUGUGGGAUUUUGUAUGUACCCUAUGAAUAAGGAUCGGCUAACUCCGUGCCAGCAGCCGCGGUAAUACGGAGGAUCCGAGCGUUAUCCGGAUUUAUUGGGUUUAAAGGGAGCGUAGGUGGAUUGUUAAGUCAGUUGUGAAAGUUUGCGGCUCAACCGUAAAAUUGCAGUUGAAACUGGCAGGCUUGAGUACAGUAGAGGUGGGCGGAAUUCGUGGUGUAGCGGUGAAAUGCUUAGAUAUCACGAAGAACUCCGAUUGCGAAGGCAGCUUACUGGACUGCAACUGACAUUGAGGCUCGAAAGUGUGGGUAUCAAACAGGAUUAGAUACCCCAGUAGUC